rnacentral:rRNA from 1 species
ACAGAGACGUCGAGCGUUGUUCGGAUUCAUUGGGCGUAAAGGGUGCGUAGGCGGUGAGGUAAGUUGGAUGUGAAAUCUCAGGGCUCAACCCUGAAAGUGCAUCCAAAACUACCUUGCUUGAGGACUGGAGGGGAGACUGGAAUUCUCGGUGUAGCGGUGAAAUGCGUAGAUAUCGAGAGGAACACCAGUGGCGAAGGCGGGUCUCUAGCCAGUUCCUGACGCUGAGGCACGAAAGCCAGGGUAGCCAACG